rnacentral:pre_miRNA from 1 species
UUUUCGAAGAGUUGUUGGAGAGUGAAGAUAUUGAACACAUGGAUUAGUCGGCAAUCCAUGUGUUCAAUAUCUUCACUCUCCAACAGCUCUUCGAC